UUUCCUUAUCAUUGCACAGAGGAAAAACAGAAGUUGAAAAAACUCCCCCCAGACCGAGUUGGGGCCAACUUUGAUCACAGCUCCAGGACCAGUGCAGGCUGGCUGCCCUCUUUUGGCCGAGUCUGGAAUAAUGGACGACGCUGGCAGUCCAGACAUCAAUUCAAAACUGAAGCUGCAGCAAUGAAGAAGCAGUCACAUACAGAAAAAAGCUAAUCAUGCUUUACCAACUACCAUGAGGCUAAAAGCAAAGUCAACAAACCCCUACUUUCCACCGAAUUCUUUAUCAUUGUCUUUCUUAGGAAACAGACAUACUCAUUCAUUUGAUUUAAUAAAGUUUUAUUUUUCCAAAUGUACAAUUGGUUGGACCUGUAAAAAA